AGCUCACGCUCUCCCAGAGAGACUGUAGUGGGGGCUGCUUUAUAGGGAUCUCGCCAGCACAGAGUGGGUGGAGGGAGUGUGGUAUCAGGCGCAGCUGUGCUGCUCGGGCUCUAGAUUGCGGAGCCGAGAGCAUUGCCUCUGCACACGGCUCUCCACUGCCAUCUUGAACUGAAUGUCCCGGGCAGCUUUUCUGCACACAGCCCUGGAGCUGAGAUGUUGGCACAGUCCUGUUAUAAACGGGAACUCCAGGCCGAAGGGCCAAGUGCGAGGCCUCUGGACUUGGCACCCUAAGAGCAAAGGGACCUACAUGACGCACAAAGGAAAAGCUUGAGGGACACAUCCCAGAAGAAGGAGCGCAAGGGCAGGGUGACAUUAGGUAUUUAUGGUGCAGUGAUUGGCUACUGUGAAUUUAGUGACUGGCAUAUGAUAUGGAGGCCAAACCGGGCUCAAGAGUGACUGAAAACAAACCCGGAGGGAAGGACACUGCAGAAGCCCGCCAGACUCCUCGCUCCAUGGAAUUUUCCAGGCUAGAAUAUUGGAGUGGGUUGCCAUUUCCUACUGCAGGGGAUCUUCCCGACCCAGGGAUUGAACCUGCGUCUCCUGUGUCUCCUGCAUUGGCAGGCAGAUUCUUUACCACUGAGCCACCAUCACAACGUGUAUAUAUACACACAGAAACAGCAUUGCAAUUACUGGAAACUUGCUCUCCCAGCAGCCUGCCUCCAGGACCAGAGGGUCCUGCUGAUGUUCCAAGGAGGUGGGGGAAGACGGGCCAGAGAAGCACCUCCUUCUCUGCUGUCCUCCAGGAGUGAGCUGGCUGAUUGCUUCAUUCUAAGUGGCUCCUAUGUGUGCGACUUAGUCAUCUCUCAUCAGAUAUACACCACAACCUUGUCUGGUGAUUGCCCGCAUUUGCUGGUUUCAAGCUUUUUUCUCAGUAGUUUUGGGUGUAAAUGCUAUAGUGUGUAUACCAGGAAAGCCAUCCAGAUGUGGUUCUAACUCAGGAAUGCUGGAUUUACCCCUGGGGUCAAAAGAAGAACAGAAUCUAAUUUUUAUUGAAUUAAAAUUAAAAUAUUGAAUUAAAAUGUUAUUG
ensembl:lncRNA